CAAAUAGGAAAUAUGCAACUGCCCUCCCAAAAGUGGUGUGGCUUACUAGUGGUAUCUAGACAUGCAGAUAGGUUUGGUUUUAUUUGCCCAGGUCAGAUUUCUGCUGCCACCAUAAUAAAAAAAACAGUGAAUAAAAGUUUGUUUGUGUGACACUGUCAACAGUUUUCAUUGGAACUAUUUCCUACCAAAGAAAUAUCUCGAAGAAAUUUGGGUUGGGCUUAAUUAUUUUGUGUUUUGGGUGAACUUUCUAUUUUAACCUAUCAGUGUCACCAUCACAAUCAGAAGUACAUCACCCAUUGUAUUAUAUUCACUGACAGAUCUGAAAAAAAUGAAGGAGAAAACGCACCAAAAUACUGGCCCCACUUGACAAGUGACCUCUGGGAAAUGUAGUGCAGAAACACCAAUUAAUUGAGAAUAUUGUGGAUUUAUUGUGAUAUUAUUAAAACAUGGGUAAAUCAUCAGUAUGACCCAUAACCACACCCUAGACCUUCUCUUGCUCCUACAAAACGAACACACAGUUGCAGAAUUGUAUCUAUUUUUGCCGUUGACAGAGCAGAAUAAACUCCCUGUACUCCUCUGCAUCUCAUAUCUAUCCUACCUCUUCCAUUCAGCUUGCUGACUGGGGCAUUAUUUUAGCCUCCUGGCAAGAAUGCCACACCACUGCUUCAUACAGAGCUGUUGUUUUCAAUCAUAUGAGGUCAGAUUUGUUCUAAGUAAGUGGCAUGUGUAGAUAAAAACUAUAGUUGUGACAGAAAACCACAAAUCACUUUAACUGUCGAAACUUUCUAAAACCUUUUACUUACCGGCCUCGGCCACAUGUCUGACUCAUGCUGUUCUCUUUACACAGAUACCCAGCAGUUCAAGCACAAAGUGACUGUGGUAAGGGCUCUGUUUCCUGUAUCCCAUCUUAUAAAGCUUUGCCUCAAAGGUCACGCUGACCAGCAGGUUGUUUGGUAUUCUCAGGCUUUCACAGUGAGCUCUUUGACUCAGGGAGACAGUAACUGCUGUAAAGCUAAUCUUUGUCUGCAUUUUCUGACUGUUUCUCUUCUUUGAAUGUUUUACAGCAGCUGGGCUGUUUGUGUCUUUGUGGUGUUUACAAAACUUCGCACACCACAGCUGACCUUGAGAGUGCCAACGCUUUCACUCAGUAGAUUAGUGCAGUUCAUGAAGUUGUGACGUUUGAACGCACCAACCACCCGCUGCAAGAUUUUUACUGGCUUGUUAAUGAGUAUCCCCUCACACACACCCGGGUCUAUAAAGCAUCUUGUCUCCCAAGUAGGACCCAUUCUCAAUGUGUGUGUUAGUGAUGAGGACCACCGCUGCUCUGCUCUCUCUCUGCUUUUGGGUAAACGCUGGGAUCAAUGCUGCUCAAACAGGUUCAAAGUGUGGGAUUCCUCAGGUGCGGAGGCCGAUGGUUCAGUCUGUGCGGGUGGUCGGAGGGGCCGAGGCCAUAUAUGGAUCACAUCCAUGGCUAGUUUCCCUGCAGAACAGGGGCUCUCAUUUCUGCGGAGGGGCCAUCCUGACUGACCGCUGGUUAAUGACCGCUGCACACUGUUUUACAUCACUCUCAAAAGAGUUUCUCAGUGGUGUGAGAGUGGUGGUGGGAGAAUUUGACCGGAGAGUGGAUGAUGAAGAGGAGCAGGUCUUUCUCAUCAAGUCUGUCUCAGUCCAUGAGAAGUACCAUCAUGCUCUGCCUAUGAACUACGACAUAGCUCUGAUGCAGUUGGAUGAACACAUUCGACUGGGAGCCCGUGUCCAGCCAAUAUGUCUGCCUUUGCCUGAUGAGAGCAUUCCACCUGAAACCAGUUGCAUUGUGGGUGGAUGGGGCAAGUUGAAGGAAAAGGGUCGUCUUCCUGCGGUACUGAGAGAGGUCCAGUUAGACUUGGUGGACCCAGCCAAAUGUAAAUAUGUCCUCCAGACUGUCAAAAGUUCAAUUCUUAACCAGAGACCAGCGAGGCCUCAGCCAGCCAUGACGGUUCUGUGUGCCGGGCCAGAGAGUGGAGGGAGAGAUGCCUGCCAGGGGGACUCAGGGGGUCCUCUGGUAUGUCGGGCAGGUUCAGGCGGCGGUCACUGGGUAGUGCUGGGUGUAACUUCCUGGGGGAAGGGAUGUGGUCGAAGCUGGGGAAACAACAGCAGCCGCCACCCAUCCCGAAGAGGAUCUCCCGGAGUUUUCACUGAUGUCAGGCUGCUGCUGCCCUGGAUUAAGCGUAAAUUGAGAGAGGCUGAUGAGCAGCAGCAGCAGGGACCAACUUUAUCGAAGCUCUGCAGCAUGACAGAUGGACCUGUAACUGACAGUGAGGGGGUAAUCAGAAACCCCGCCCUCCCUGGUGAUCACUAUGACAACAACCAGUUGUGUGUGUGGAAUAUCAGUGUUCCUCCAGGUCAUAGUAUUCUACUGGAGUUUGAUCAUUUUGAUCUGGAGAACGACUCUUACUGCCGCUACGAUCGACUCACUGUUUCAGUAGGGACUCACAGGCCUGUUGGGAUUUUCUGUGGGAGUGUCCUUCCUGGCCCAGUGCUCCUGAAUAAUUCCCAGAAUGCAACACUUGUCUUCUCCUCUGACAUUAACAGAGCAGGAAGUGGCUUUUUCAUUAGGCAUCGCGCUGUCCAGGGACACUCUGAUCCUGGAUGCGGGACAGUAAUUCUAGUUGAGGAUCAGACUGCUGUCCACAGCCCAAAUUACCCACAAUUCUACAGUAAUGACUGUGUCCUCCGCUGGGUUGUCCAUGCUCCACAGGGUCAUGUUGUUAAGCUUGACCUUGCAGAUUUUUACUUGGAGGAGUCUGACGGAUGCUUGUAUGAUUCCCUCAUUGUCCUGGGAGAUGUGGAAGGAACAGAGGAGAUAGUGGUGCUGUGUGGUGGCAGUAUUCCUCCUCCUGUCCUGUCCUACCACAGUGUCAUGGUGCUUCAGUUCACGUCAGACAGCAGCAUCACACAAAGGGGCUUCAGUGCUUCACUAACAUUCAUCAGCCAUACAGACCUGCAUGAUCAGGACACAGCAGGUGUGAAACAUCUGAGAGAUCACCAAGAUGAUUUGGCGUCUAACCAGCGGCACAUAACAUCAUAUGAUGCAUCAUGUCUCCAUGUCUCACCCUCACCAAACCAGUUCCUUUGGGACUGUGAUGCUGCUUUGCUGUACCUUUUUUUUCCACUGUAACUCUUCAUCCUAAACUCCGCCCAUCCAGGUGUGCACUUACUCCGAAUGGGUGGAGUCAACAGUGUAUACAGGCAAAACGUCAUUCAUAAGAACCUGUGUCAAUACAGGAUUCAGUAAGUAUCAGCCACACAAGAUCAUGAAAAGUCACUCUUAACGCCUGUUUAAGACUUUUUUUCUCUGAAAAAUUAUCAGCACAAGGUGAUGUCAUUUCAAUCCAAAGCCAUCAGUCUGCCGCCUCUAUCAGCUGUCGCCAAACGCACGUCAAACUGUUAACACUGCUGCAAUCAGAAAAAAUGAGCGCAUAUUGCAUAUGCAAUAAGUAUAUACAAUGCUUAUGUUUGAUUUGGGUUUGUCUAAAUUAAUUUUAUAAUCUACUAAAACAAGAACAAAGGUUGUUUUACCAGCCUGUCAGAGUGCCAGUGGACACAACAAAUACUGGACAUCUGCCACAUGCCCAGUGUUAUGGCCACACAUCUUAUGUGUUGACCCCAAACAAGGCCUGAUUUCACUCUAAUUCCUCUAUAUUAUAUUCAACUUUAGAGAUCUAUUCUGUUUCACUGUCGAAUGAUUCAUUCCUCAAGUUACUGUAAACCUUAAACAGCGGUUUCCAAUCUUUUUGGCUUGUGGCCCCUUAAAAAGAAGCUGUGUCUACUUGUGAUCCAUCUUCACAGGUUGCAUUUGUUUACAGAGUAUAACCAGGGCAACCAAAGGCCUAAUCGCCCUUUGGUUGCCCUGGUUAUGAUGAUUGAUUGUUUUAUUCAAAUACUUUUUAGACAUCUGAAGAAAAAAAAUGAUUGAGUUAAUGUGUUUUUUCUGCUUUCUUAUCUUAUUAAUCAUCUAACAACCCCACAAAUGUAUCUUGCAACCCCUUAAAGGGGUCCCAAUUCCCAGGUUGGGAACCACUGCCCUUAAAUAUGAAUGUGAUAACCAUAUCCUUUACUUGAUGAUGAUAAAAGCAGUCAUUUAUUACACGCUUGUAGUUUUUGAUGUAUUGUCUGAGAUUUAAAUUUUCCACCAAGUCAGGAGUCAGUUGUGAUUGUUGAGGACACAUUAGUCCUCCUAACAUUCACCACCAUCACCAGCAUCCAAAACACAGAGCAAGAAGGGGCCUUUUAGGUUGUUUGUGGUAUAAACAUUAAUUUCAUAUGCCACAGGAAGUGACCUUCCAUAUUUACAAUUUGAUAACAACUCUUGGUGUCAGUAGAAAACUACAUGAAAGGGAACUGUUGGAUUGACAUACAGUAUAAAAGGCCAUGCAUGUUUGUAGGUACAGGGUACCCUCUAGUGGCAGUUUAUAGAAAUUGAAGUGAAACCGGCGUUGGAACAACAUGAAUAAGCUUUAAGCUUUGUGUGUGUUUCUGCAUGCAUUGAUUACGAUCAAGAUCAUAUAAAAUGGUAUGGUAGUAUAUUGGAUAAGUCUAAAUCAUACGUUUUUUGUUAGACUGGCCCUUUAAUUUUUAGUGUUCACUUUGGUAGCUGCACUCAGGAACUGACAGGAACAGGAACACAGUUAAAAUAAUAAUAAAUAAUAACUUAAAUAAGUAUGCCUUAUGUACCUUUUU